GAUGAAUGCUGGCGGCGUGCCUAACACAUGCAAGUCGAGCGGCAGCGCGUCUAGUUUACUAGAUGGCGGCGAGCGGCGGACGGCUGAGUAACGCGUGGGAACGUGCCACAAAGUGAGGAAUAACUGCCCGAAAGGGUAGCUAAUGCCGCAUAUGGUCUUCGGAUUAAAGUAUUUAUACGCUUUGGGAGCGGCCCGCGUCGGAUUAGGUUGGUGGUGAGGUAAUGGCUCACCAAGCCGACGAUCCGUAGCUGGUCUGAGAGGAUGAUCAGCCAGACUGGAACUGAGACACGGUCCAGACUCCUACGGGAGGCAGCAGUGAGGAAUCUUCCACAAUGGGCGAAAGCCUGAUGGAGCAACGCCGCGUGCAGGAUGAAGGCCUUCGGGUCGUAAACUGCUUUUAUAAGUGAAGAAUAUGACGGUAACUUAUGAAUAAGCACCGGCUAACUACGUGCCAGCCGCCGAGGUAA
rnacentral:rRNA from 1 species